rnacentral:rRNA from 1 species
AGAGUUUGACCUUUGCUCAGGACGAACGCUGGCGGCGUGCUUAACACAUGCAAGUCGAACGGAAAGGCCCUUCGGGGUACUCGAGUGGCGAACGGGUGAGUAACACGUGGGUGAUCUGCCCUGCACUUUGGGAUAAGCCUGGGAAACUGGGUCUAAUACCGAAUAUGACCACGCUCUUCAUGGGGUGUGGUGGAAAGCUUUUGCGGUGUGGGAUGGGCCCGCGGCCUAUCAGCUUGUUGGUGGGGUAAUGGCCUACCAAGGCGACGACGGGUAGCCGGCCUGAGAGGGUGACCGGCCACACUGGGACUGAGAUACGGCCCAGACUCCUACGGGAGGCAGCAGUGGGGAAUAUUGCACAAUGGGCGCAAGCCUGAUGCAGCGACGCCGCGUGAGGGAUGACGGCCUUCGGGUUGUAAACCUCUUUCACCAGGGACGAAGCGCAAGUGACGGUACCUGGAGAAGAAGCACCGGCCAACUACGUGCCAGCAGCCGCGGUAAUACGUAGGGUGCGAGCGUUGUCCGGAAUUACUGGGCGUAAAGAGCUCGUAGGUGGCUUGUCGCGUCGCUCGUGAAAACUCACAGCUUAACUGUGGGCGUGCGGGCGAUACGGGCAGACUAGAGUACUGCAGGGGAGACUGGAAUUCCUGGUGUAGCGGUGGAAUGCGCAGAUAUCAGGAGGAACACCGGUGGCGAAGGCGGGUCUCUGAGCAGUAACUGACGCUGAGGAGCGAAAGCGUGGGGAGCGAACAGGAUUAGAUACCCUGGUAGUCCACGCCGUAAACGCCCCCUAUGGGUGUGGUUCCUUCCUUGGGAUCCGUGCCGUAGCUAACGCAUUAAGUACCCCGCCUGGGGAGUACGGCCGCAAGGCUAAAACUCAAAGGAAUUGACGGGGGCCCGCACAAGCGGCGGAGCAUGUGGAUUAAUUCGAUGCAACGCGAAGAACCUUACCUGGGUUUGACAUGCACAGGACGCUGGUAGAGAUAUCAGUUCCCUUGUGGCCUGUGUGCAGGUGGUGCAUGGCUGUCGUCAGCUCGUGUCGUGAGAUGUUGGGUUAAGUCCCGCAACGAGCGCAACCCCUAUCUUAUGUUGCCAGCGCGUUAUGGCGGGGACUCGUAAGAGACUGCCGGGGUCAACUCGGAGGAAGGUGGGGAGGACGUCAAGUCAUCAUGCCCCUUAUGUCCAGGGCUUCACACAUGCUACAAUGGCCGGUACAAAGGGCUGCGAAUCCGCGAGGUGGAGCGAAUCCCUUGAAAGCCGGUCUCAGUUCGGAUCGGGGUGUGCAACUCGACCCCGCGAAGUUGGAGUCGCUAGUAAUCGCAGAU